CAAAGACACUCCUUAUGUACAUGGUAGGCCCUUCUCAAUAAACUACCUACAAUAGACAAUAUGAAAAGAAGAGGUAUCUAUCAUGUUAACCGAUGCUCCCUUUGUUUGCAACAAGAAGAAACUGUUGACCACCUCUAUUUUGCUUGUGAUUAUACAAAAUGGAUAUGGAAGGAGAUUCUCCAGCGAUUUGAACUCAAUAGACGAGAUUCUCCAGCGAUUUGAACUCAAUAGACUACCGCAACCAAACUUGCACCAAGAACUAGGCGACCUUAUGCAAUGUGAUUCUCCAGCGAUUUGAACUCAAUAGACUACCGCAACCAAAUUUGCACCAAGAACUAGGCGACCUUAUGCAAUGUUUCUCAAGAAAAGGGCCACUUACACAACUGGCAAAGAUUACUUUCAGAUGCGCUAUUUGGUGGAUGUGGAAGGAGAGAUGUAAUAGAAUCUUUGAAUGUCAACACACAAACAAUGCUCAGCUCUUGAAAGAGAUUAUUAGAGACUCAAGAUCCUGUAUGGAGCAUGAUCUCAAAACCGAGCACUUCACCCGAAGAGAAAAAGAUAUUUUUAUCAAAUUUAAUUUUGCUAUUAGCUAAAGAUCUUGGGAAUGAUGCCAAAUAAUGUACCCAUAGGUAGUUAUAAUCUACAGCAUGUGUAGUCAUAACUAUCGCGACUUACCAAAAAAA
rnacentral:lncRNA from 1 species